AGCGUGUUAAAUUAGUUAACUUAAGUCUUAACGCUUUAUAUAAUUAAUCGUUAUAAUUAGCCUUCCACAUUCUUGAGAAGCUUUAGACUAUUGUGAUUGUGUUCACAACGAACAAUAGAAAAGACAAUGUCUUUCUUAUCAUUUGCGUUUGCUGAUAUAUUUGCUGAAUGUUAAUGAUAUGUAUAUAUUAAUUGCUACGAAUACAGUCAAGAAUUGCUUGUAUUUCGCUUCUAAAGUCAAAAAUGAAAAAUUGAACACCGUCAAUCGAUGCGGAAUAAAGGGUGUCGCCCCUUAACAACAACAACAACAACAACAAGAUUAGCAGCGAUUGGGGACCAGUUCCUGGUCCAAAAACGACAAGAAAAAACAGGGCAGUAAAAUUAACAAGGCCUCUUAUUAAAGCCCUAUAAAAUGUUGUUUUAAUCAAACUUGUACAAUAAUUAUGUAAAUAUCAUUGUCAUAACAAAGGCUAGUUAUAGAACAAUUUAGGAAACUAGAUACUCUACUAAAUUUAAUGCAAGAAUGGAACCAGUUUUUGUAACUUGUCACAGGAUUUGAAUAAAACUUGAAAAU